rnacentral:misc_RNA from 1 species
AACGCACGAGACCUGCGGACCUGCGGAGGGAUCAUUCACAAUAAGUGUUUUAUGGCACUUUAAUUCCAUAUCCACCUUGUGUGCAACGUAGUUCGUUUUUCGAACAAAACAUCAACAUUUUAAUUAUCAACAGAUCGUCUGAAGUAUUAUAUGAAUAAAUCAAUUCAAAAUACAACUUUCAGCAACGGAUCUCU